GAUGAACGCUGGCGGCGUGCCUAAUACAUGCAAGUCGAGCGAACAGACGAGGAGCUUGCUCCUCUGACGUUAGCGGCGGACAGGUGAGUAACACGUGGAUAACCUACCUAUAAGACUGGGAUAACUUCGGGAAACCGGAGCUAAUACCGGAUAAUAUAUUGAACCGCAUGGUUCAAUAGUGAAAGACGGUUUUGCUGUCACUUAUAGAUGGAUCCGCGCCGCAUUAGCUAGUUGGUAAGGUAACGGCUUACCAAGGCAACGAUGCGUAGCCGACCUGAGAGGGUGAUCGGCCACACUGGAACUGAGACACGGUCCAGACUCCUACGGGAGGCAGCAGUAGGGUAUCUUCCGCAAUGGGCGAAAGCUUGACGGAGCAACGCCGCGUGAGUGAUGAAGGUCUUCGGAUCGUAAAACUCUGUUAUUAGGGAAGAACAAAUGUGUAAGUAACUAUGCACGUCUUGACGGUACCUAAUCAGAAAGCCACGGCUAACUACGUG
rnacentral:rRNA from 1 species